rnacentral:lncRNA from 1 species
AACAGAAGAGUCCUCCAAAGGACACUCUGCGGAGGGAAUGGUGAGUUGAGCUUCCUUCUAUGACGUAAAGGAGGAGUUGCUCACAGAGCCAGGGUGUUCAUCCCCCCAAGUUACGCCUAGAAAGCCUUUACCCAGUCGGGAUGAAGACUUCUCCACCCAGCCACCCCACUCCCUUAGUCUUCCUAGGUUACAGACUCUACCCCUCCCCUCAGCGAGGCCACUUCUAGUUAUGGAUAAAAUUGCGUACUACAGUAGGUAGGGUGGAUACUCAGAAGAUAGUCCUGUACAACACCUAUACAAACUGUCUCAAUUCAUUAACAAACGAACUACCGAAGGACAAGAAAAAGAAGGGUUAUGAAGUCACGCAGAGCCGGGCGGUGGUGGCGCACACCUUUAAUACCAGCAUUCGGGAGGCAGAGGCAGGCGAAUUUCUGAGUUCGAGGCCAGACUGGUCUACAGAGUGGGUUCCAAGACAACCAGGGCUAUUCAAAGAAACCCUGUCUCAAAAAAAAAAAAAAAGAAAGUUGGUUGUUUUCUAACAACUUUUGAAAAGUAAUAAAACACUGUUCUUCCCCCAGGAAAAACAGGAGUGAAAAUGACAGGUCUAUUGAGAGGACAAUUUGCCAGGAGUUAGAUUUCUCCUUCCACCAAGUAGGUUCUAGGGAUAAAACCCUCAUUCAUUGGGCUGGAUAGCAAGCGCCUUUACCAAUCUCACUGAUUUUCAGUACUUCUGAGGACUCCAAAGUAUGUGGAUGUCAUGUGACCAGCUACUUCAAGUUUCUGUUGCCCAGACUUCUUUCCAUGAUCAACUGUACCUUGAACUAUAAGUGUACAUAAAUGACUCUUGAAAUUACUUUUGCCAGAGUAUUUUAUCACAGCAAUAAAAAAAGUGGGAAGUCUUACAGAGGGAAACAUAUUGGGACCCACCAGUUUCUAAUUUCUAUUUAUACAGGAGAAAUUAAGACUUAAAUCCAUAGAUUUGUAUAAUGUGGGGAAAGAUGGAUUGUGACAUACGGAUACAAUGGAAUGCUAUUCAGCCAUAAGAAGAAGCCUGUUGCUGAUGUGCACAGAAUGAAUGUGUUUCACAGGUGUGGUACACAAAAGAAGACAACUGGGAGAGAGUUCUCCUGUGUAGAAGAGAUAAACAAUGAGAAGAUAUGCAAAUGAAAGGAGUCUCUUGGAGAGGAUAGAUGGACAGUUCAUCCGCUCAUUAGGCAACAAUUAAGAGCACAGGAGUGUGUGCCCAUGGCGUGGUGAAGAGCCGCUUCCACUGUUUGCCCAAACUUAUGCGUGGUGGCCAGCGGUAGCCAGCGCCACCCUGCAAUGGCACAUGUGGCUUCCCACAGUCCUGUUGAUCUUUGCCAUUCUGAUUUAGAUAAUAAAGAAAUGAGUUGGUGACAACUAUUCUUUACAUCACAUUAUCAACUCACUUUAACCACAAGUGUGUCCUUGGCCAUCUGCAAUCACAUUCUAUUUAUAUAAUACCAAGAGGAUCUGUCUGCAAUUGUGGUUGAAUUAGCUGAGGUUGCAAUGGUGGUGGCAACUGAAGUGGUACCAUUGAUUCUACCAAUUGUCCUGGAUUUGAAGUAGGUGGAGGAGCCACAGUGUUCGCAGUUUCUACAAUUUCUCCAUUGUAAAAGAAAAACUGGCACUGUUGGAUUUAAAAAAAAAAAAAGCAGACUCUAAGAUACUAUCACAGGAUCAAUGGCACAAAUGUAAAGAGAUGGAAGGUUUAUCAAGACACUAGUGCCUGUGCUAUCAGCUACUUAGACGGGUGAGGAAGAAGAUUUGAACUCAGGAUAUUAUGAUUAUACACCAAAACCAAUCAGGAUUUAUCCGGUGAAUGAGUCACUAGCAACAAAUAAGUAUGGAUCUGAGACACCAGGGAGCAUUCUCAAGAACUGGUGUAGCAUAAGAGUUUCCUGCAAUCAACAACAAGACAGCUAAUCACUCUGCAAUUAAGGCUCUGUCAAUUCUCCUUUUUAUAAGCUACAGUAGAUGUGCUGAGGAUGGAUCCCAAGGGCACGCAAUGCUGGGGCAAGGCAACUUCUUGACUCUAAAGAAGUCACAUGCCACAGUGAUUUAGAGAUGAAAAAGAAAAGAGAUUACUGCAGUUUGGCCCUUCACUUCUGAUUUACUGUGUGUGCAUCUUCCGUGUGGCCUGCGGGGGCCCUGUUAUUUUGGUACACAUCCCAAGUGUCAUACUG